UACGUAGGGUGCGAGCGUUGUCCGGAAUUACUGGGCGUAAAGCGUGCGUAGGCGGUUUCGCAAGUCCGAUGUGAAAUCCCCGGGCUUAACCUGGGAACUGCGUUGGAAACUACGAAGCUAGAGUGCGGCAGAGGGGGGUGGAAUUCCACGUGUAGCAGUGAAAUGCGUAGAGAUGUGGAGGAACACCGAUGGCGAAGGCAGCCCCCCUGGGCCAAUACUGACGCUCAUGCACGAAAGCGUGGGGGAGCAAACAGG
rnacentral:rRNA from 1 species